CGCACCGCCCGUCACACCAUGGGAGUUGGUUUCACCCGAAGGCAGUGCGCUAACCGCAAGGAGGCAGCUGACCACGGUGGGACCAGCGACUGGGGUG
rnacentral:rRNA from 1 species